GUGGGGAAUAUUGCGCAAUGGGCGAAAGCCUGACGCAGCGACGCCGCGUGGGUGAUGAAGGUCUUCGGAUCGUAAAGCCCUGUGGGAGAGGGACGAACAACUCGAGGGAACAAUACCCCUCGGGCCUGACGGUACCUUUCCAGAAAGCACCGGCUAACUCCGUGCCAGCAGCCGCGGUAAUACGGAGGGUGCAAACGUUGUUCGGAAUUACUGGGCGUAAAGCGCGUGUAGGCGGCUUGGCAAGUCAGGUGUGAAAGCCCUCGGCUUAACUGAGGAAGUGCAUUUGAAACUGCCAGGCUAGAGUACGGGAGAGGGUAGUAGAAUUCCCGGUGUAGAGGUGAAAUUCGUAGAUAUCGGGAGGAAUACCGGUGGCGAAGGCGGCUACCUGGACCGAUACUGACGCUGAGACGCGAAAGCGUGGGGAGCAAACAGGAUUAGAUACCCUGGUAGUCC
rnacentral:rRNA from 1 species